rnacentral:rRNA from 1 species
UACGGAGGGGGCUAGCGUUAAUCGGAAUUACUGGGCGUAAAGCGUGCGCAGGCGGUCCGCUAAGACAGAUGUGAAAUCCCCGGGCUUAACCUGGGAACUGCAUUUGUGACUGGCGGGCUAGAGUAUGGCAGAGGGGGGUAGAAUUCCACGUGUAGCAGUGAAAUGCGUAGAGAUGUGGAGGAAUACCGAUGGCGAAGGCAGCCCCCUGGGCCAAUACUGACGCUCAUGCACGAAAGCGUGGGGAGCAAACAGG